UUCUCUUUCUUUUCGAAGUAUUAUCGAUCGAGUAUUAACAUACAUCGAUUCGUUUCUCUAAUUCUUCGUAGAUAUCCAAAUAUCGAUCAUAUAUCGAUAUAUAUUUCGAUUCGAGCACUGGAGUGUAAGAUUUGCAAUGGUGGCACAUAUGUACGGUUUUAUCGCGCGUGGUCAAUUGCCUCGAAAAUUUCGUGUCGCGAAAGAUAAUAAAAAAAAUUAAAUAACGACAGUUGUAAAAUUAACAGCCAAGAAUAUCUCAGAAGAUGGAUUUUUCUCAGCAUGUAACCAAGAAAGCAAGGUGAAUUAAAAUCGAAGGCUGAGGAGAUUAGAAAACUGCCAGAAGCAAGCCUGAACCAUUUGUCAAAUGCUCGCAAAUUCGAUUUGAACGACGCAAACACGAUCUUAAGUGGGGUCGAAGUUUCAUGUUGUCGAGAAUACUGCUCACGAGGAAGGGAACAAGUUUAAUGUGUCUUAAAAAAUUACUUUUCUCCAGGAGCUGAAAAAAA